rnacentral:rRNA from 1 species
GGGGGGGGGGGGGGGGGGGGGGGGGGGGGGGGGGGCGGGCGGCGGCGGGGGGGGGGCGGGCGCGGGCGGGGGGCGAGUGGCGGGCGGGUGGGGAAGCCGUCGGACUCUACUGUUGCGGGGGGGAUAACGUAGGGACCCUUACGCUAAUACCGCAUACGACCUACGGGUGAACGCCGGGCAUCUUCGGACCUUGCCCGAUUGCAUGAGCCGAUGUCGGCUUAGCUAGUUGGCGGGGUAAAGGCCCACCAAGGCGACGAUCCGUAGCUGGUCUGAGAGGAUGAUCAGCCACACUGGAACUGAGACACGGUCCAGACUCCUACGGGAGGCAGCAGUGGGGAAUAUUGGACAAUGGGCGCAAGCCUGAUCCAGCCAUACCGCGUGGGUGAAGAAGGCCUUCGGGUUGUAAAGCCCUUUUGUUGGGAAAGAAAAGCAGCAGGUUAAUACCCCGCUGUUCUGACGGUACCCAAAGAAUAAGCACCGGCUAACUUCGUG